rnacentral:lncRNA from 1 species
GUUUCAUAUUUGCAUUUAAGAUAUAGAUGAAAUUAAAGUAACAAAGACAUGCAAAAUCUAAAAACAUUUAAAGAAUUUUAUCGUGUACAUGUUGAUAACUGUCAUUUUAUUUCGCACACCUGUUGAACAGCUGACGUGAAUCAUUUAAUUUUCACCUGUAAAAGUACAGCUGUAGAUGUGUUUACAAACAACAACUCCAACGUUCUGUUUCGUUGUCAGUAGACUUUUGAAAUAAGUUGUUAUGAAAAAGAGAGAAAAGAAGAAUUAUUAAAUAUGACGUGGGAACCAACACAUGUACAACUAACAGGUGGGUACACAAUUUACUACACUUUACAACAGUACAUGUAAAUGUAUAAUUUUAACAGUGUAAUUUCCACAGGAUGACAUCACUUACUAAAUGAGUAAACAGUUGUUGAUACUUUAACAUAGAAUUAUAUUAUUUUAAUUUGACACAAAUGCAGUCAGCAUGGUCAGUAAUAAGAUGAUACUAAUUAAAUCUUCCUACUUUUCAAAAAAACAUGUGUAUACACUUUAACAUGUCAAACAUGUCAAAUUAGUAGGGAUUUUUUUUUUAUCUUUUCAAGGACUUGCGCAGAGAUAUAAGCAUCAAUUUACAACCAAUGUCAUACUAAAUUUGUUUACAUCAGUUUCCUUAUGAAAAUAACAUCAGGAGAACAUUUUGCAAUCACAUCAUUGUCAAAGUUUUUUCCAAAGAUUGCGUAUUUAUUUACAAGUAGGCAAAACAUGAUUUUAUGUCAUUUGGCCCAAGGCACUACUGAUCCUAUAAGAAAGAAAUUAACAUGUAUAUGUUUGAAAUUCAAUGCACCUUAAAUACAUUAGUAAUAAUACAAACAUGACAAAUAAGUAGUGAUUUUUUUUACAGUAAAGAAAUGUCAUGAAUGUCCAUGGUUUACAAAUACAUGCACAUGUAAGAUUCAUCUACAGAAAAUUUGAGUUGUCUCCCCUAGAUAAGUUUCACUUAGUAGGCUACAUUAAUUAGGCUGUAAUUAGUUUUCUCGUUUGAAUUGUUUUACAUUGUCAUUUCAAGGCCUUUUAAAGCUGACUAUGCGGUAUUGGCUUUGCAUAUUGUUGAAAGCCGUGUGGUGACCUAAUACGUAAAGUUUUUUCUAUAGUCGUUGAUUUCUGUGUCAUUUUGGUCUCUUGUGGAGAGUUGUCUCAUUGACAAUCAUGUCACAUCUUAUGUUUUGAAUCCCCUUACAUUUGUUUGUCGAAACUUCAUCUGUGUGGCUCCCUUUAGAUUUGUAUGCCUAAAUUCAUUUGUUUUGAUUUAAUUUUUAACUGCUCUGUCCAGAUAAGGAGUGUCAAAUGUACAUGGUCUUGUAUUUGAUUUUAUAUUGCUAUUUUUUUAAUGUCUGAUUAUCAUGAUUAUAAUGGAUCCAAAAUAUUGAUUUAAGACUUAUGCCGGCUUAACACAUUGGCGUAUAAACCGUCGUGCACCAAACGUACAGAGAAAAUAGACAAAGUUGGUAUCCAUUAGUUGCACGCCAGAGGAACGCUAAGCAAUCGUUAAACGCGCGUUGCAUAAGUUUGAAGUACCUCGAAAUACAAAGGUAUACACUUGGUGAACGCUACAAUUCAAGGAAAUUUUUAUGCAGCAUAAAAAUUUUCAUCCAGCUCAAGCAUGUGUCUAGCGUAUACCUGUACACUACACGCACGUUACACAUACUCUACAAGCGCAUUCAACAUGCUACUGAUGAGUUUGAGACAUGUUUAGGGCAUGUACACUCUGAGAAUGUUCGACUUCAACUCAAAUGUAUGCGGGUGUGUUUGUAACAAACCCCCCAUAAUAGAACGUCCAAGAUACGACCGGGGCGUGUCUCAAAUACGUCCAAGAAACUUUUUUCCUAUGUAGCGUACAUUACAUCUACGUAAGACAAACGCCAGACAUACGCAACCAUACGUUUCUUGAACGCCUGAUAAACGCUUAGGGACGCUUCUUGUACGUCCAAUUCACGCAUUUAGCUCAUUGUGCACACGUUACAGAUUUGAUUGACAGGUUGAAUGCAUCAAAAAUUACUAGAGUAUGGGCAGCACACAUGAUUUUUUUUAAAUGCCCGGCAACGUUGGAGCUAUACGCUGAUGUGUGACGCCGGUAUUAGAUGUAAAUAUGUCUAUGUUUUGUAUUAGUAUUUACUAUUUUAAAAACUAAAUCAAAAACUAAAUAAGGUGUAAGGGUAUAAUGUAUAUAUGAAUAAGUCACCAUUUUAACACUACAUACAAUGUACAAGCAAACCAAAAAAGGUACAAAUAUAACUAAUAGACCAUAUUUUACAUCUAUAUGAUACAUGUAUGUUAUAAUGGUUCUGAAUUUUUAUUAUUUAAUGUCAUUUUCAGUUGUCCUUAAUAUUUAUCUUUAUUUUAGUUUGCAGAGCCAGAAACCUCCUAACGAAGACCAAAGGUGG